rnacentral:rRNA from 1 species
CCCUUAGAGUUUGAUCCUGGCUCAGAUUGAACGCUGGCGGCAGGCCUAACACAUGCAAGUCGAGCGGUAACAGAUUGAUAGCUUGCUAUCAAUGCUGACGAGCGGCGGACGGGUGAGUAAUGCCUGGGAAUAUGCCCUGAUGUGGGGGAUAACUAUUGGAAACGAUAGCUAAUACCGCAUAAUCUCUUCGGAGCAAAGAGGGGGACCUUCGGGCCUCUCGCGUCAGGAUUAGCCCAGGUGGGAUUAGCUUGUUGGUGGGGUAAUGGCUCACCAAGGCAACGAUCCCUAGCUGGUCUGAGAGGAUGAUCAGCCACACUGGAACUGAGACACGGUCCAGACUCCUACGGGAGGCAGCAGUGGGGAAUAUUGCACAAUGGGGGAAACCCUGAUGCAGCCAUGCCGCGUGUAUGAAGAAGGCCUUCGGGUUAUAAAGUACUUUCAGUUGUGAGGAAGGCAGUAAAGUUAAUAGCUUUGCUGUUUGACGUUAGCAACAGAAGAAGCACCGGCUAACUCCGUGCCAGCAGCCGCGGUAAUACGGAGGGUGCGAGCGUUAAUCGGAAUUACUGGGCGUAAAGCGCAUGCAGGUGGUCUGUUAAGCAAGAUGUGAAAGCCCGGGGCUCAACCUCGGAACAGCAUUUUGAACUGGCAGACUAGAGUACUGUAGAGGGGGGUAGAAUUUCAGGUGUAGCGGUGAAAUGCGUAGAGAUCUGAAGGAAUACCGGUGGCGAAAGCGG